GCCAACCUGAGAAUGACAAGCACAGACAGCCCUUGUCCCUGGGCCCAUCGCAUGAGUCUGCUGCAGGAUGAGGAAGAAGAGUCCAGUAGGCAGGAAACCG
rnacentral:sRNA from 1 species